GACGAACGCUGGCGGCGUGCUUAACACAUGCAAGUCGAACGGAAAGGCCCUGCUUUUGUGGGGUGCUCGAGUGGCGAACGGGUGAGUAACACGUGAGUAACCUGCCCUUGACUUUGGGAUAACUUCAGGAAACUGGGGCUAAUACCGGAUAGGAGCUCCUGCUGCAUGGUGGGGGUUGGAAAGUUUCGGCGGUUGGGGAUGGACUCGCGGCUUAUCAGCUUGUUGGUGGGGUAGUGGCUUACCAAGGCUUUGACGGGUAGCCGGCCUGAGAGGGUGACCGGCCACAUUGGGGCUUGAGAUACGGCCCAGACUCCUACGGGAGGCAGCAGUGGGGAAUAUUGCACAAUGGGCGGAAGCCUGAUGCAGCAACGCCGCGUGCGGGAUGACGGCCUUCGGGUUGUAAACCGCUUUCGCCUGUGACGAAGCGUGAGUGACGGUAAUGGGUAAAGAAGCACCGGCUAACUACGUG
rnacentral:rRNA from 1 species